rnacentral:rRNA from 1 species
GACGAACGCUGGCGGCGUGCUUAACACAUGCAAGUCGAACGGAAAGGCCCUGCUUUUGUGGGGUGCUCGAGUGGCGAACGGGUGAGUAACACGUGAGUAACCUGCCCUUGACUUUGGGAUAACUUCAGGAAACUGGGGCUAAUACCGGAUAGGAGCUCCUGCUGCAUGGUGGGGGUUGGAAAGUUUCGGCGGUUGGGGAUGGACUCGCGGCUUAUCAGCUUGUUGGUGGGGUAGUGGCUUACCAAGGCUUUGACGGGUAGCCGGCCUGAGAGGGUGACCGGCCACAUUGGGACUGAGAUACGGCCCAGACUCCUACGGGAGGCAGCAGUGGGGAAUAUUGCACAAUGGGCGGAAGCCUGAUGCAGCAACGCCGCGUGCGGGAUGACGGCCUUCGGGUUGUAAACCGCUUUCGCCUGUGACGAAGCGUGAGUGACGGUAAUGGGUAAAGAAGCACCGGCUAACUACGUGCCAGCAGCCGCGGUGAUACGUAGGGUGCGAGCGUUGUCCGGAUUUAUUGGGCGUAAAGGGCUCGUAGGUGGUUGAUCGCGUCGGAAGUGUAAUCUUGGGGCUUAACCCUGAGCGUGCUUUCGAUACGGGUUGACUUGAGGAAGGUAGGGGAGAAUGGAAUUCCUGGUGGAGCGGUGGAAUGCGCAGAUAUCAGGAGGAACACCAGUGGCGAAGGCGGUUCUCUGGGCCUUUCCUGACGCUGAGGAGCGAAAGCGUGGGGAGCGAACAGGCUUAGAUACCCUGGUAGUCCACGCUGUAAACGGUGGGUACUAGGUGUGGGGUCCAUUCCACGGGUUCCGUGCCGUAGCUAACGCUUUAAGUACCCCGCCUGGGGAGUACGGCCGCAAGGCUAA